rnacentral:rRNA from 1 species
ACUCCUACGGGAGGCAGCAGUGGGAAUAUUGCACAAUGGGAAAGCCAUCGAUGCAGCCAUGCCGCGCUGUGUGAAGAAGGCCAAUUCGGGCUUGGUUAAAGACACUUUUCAGCGAGGAGGAAAAGGGUGUGUGCUAAUACCAUACAUCUGUGACGUUACUCGCAGAAGAAGCACCGGCUAACUCCGUGCCAGCAGCCGCGGUAAUACGGAGGGUGCGAGCGUUAAUCGGAAUUACUGGGCGUAAAGCGUGCGCAGGCGGUUUGUUAAGCGAGAUGUGAAAGCCCGGCUC